rnacentral:rRNA from 1 species
UAGGGAAUCUUCGGCAAUGGACGAAAGUCUGACCGAGCAACGCCGCGUGAUUGAAGAAGGUUUUCGGAUCGUAAAACUCUGUUGUUAGAGAAGAACAAGGACGUUAGUAACUGAACGUCCCCUGACGGUAUCUAACCAGAAAGCCACGGCUAACUCCGUGCCAGCAGCCGCUGUAAUACGGAGGGUGCAAGCGUUAAUCGGAAUUACUGGGCGUAAAGCGCACGCAGGCGGUCUGUCAAGUCGGAUGUGAAAUCCCCGGGCUCAACCUGGGAACUGCAUUCGAAACUGGCAGGCUAGAGUCUUGUAGAGGGGGGUAGAAUUCCAGGUGUAGCGGUGAAAUGCGUAGAGAUCUGGAGGAAUACCGGUGGCGAAGGCGGCCCCCUGGACAAAGACUGACGCUAAGGUGCGAAAGCGUGGGGAGCAAACAGG